UUACCUCACAACGUCUGGCUUCUUUCAGGG
rnacentral:piRNA from 1 species